CCUACGGGAGGCAGCAGUGGGGAAUAUUGGACAAUGGGCGAAAGCUUGGUCCAGCAAUGCCGCGUGUGUGAAGAAGGCCUUCGGGUUGCAAAGCACUUUGAUCUGGGAAGAAAAAGCUUUGGCUAACAUCCAAAGCCUUGACGGUACCAGAGGAACAAGCACCGGCUAACUCUGUGCCAGCAGCCGCGGUAAUACAGAGGGUGCUAGCGUUAAUCGGAUUUACUGGGCGUAAAGCGUGUGUAGGCGGUUCGUUAAGUCGGAUGUGAAAGCCCUGGGCUCAACCUGGGAAUUGCACUCGAUACUGGCGGGCUAGAGUACGGUAGAGGGCGGCGGAAUUCCGGGUGUAGCGGUGAAAUGCGUAGAUAUCCGGAGGAACACCGAUGGCGAAGGCAACCGCCUGGGCCUGUACUGACGCUGAGACACGAAAGCGUGGGGAGCAAACAGGAUUAGAUACCCUGGUAGCCCACGCCGUAAACGAUGAGUGCUAGACGUUGGGGCCCUCAGGGCUUCGGUGUCGCAGCUAACGCAUUAAGCACUCCGCCUGGGGAGUACGGCCGCAAGGUUAAAACUCAAAGGAAUUGACGG
rnacentral:rRNA from 1 species